CAAGUACUCCCUCCGUCCCAUAUUAAUUGUCGCUGAAAUGGAUGUAUCUAGAUGACUAGAUGUAUUUCAGUGCUAGAUACAUCUGUUUGGGUGACAACUAAUAUGGGACAGAGGGAGUAUUUU
rfam:Triticum aestivum genome assembly, contig: Triticum_aestivum_CS42_TGACv1_scaffold_328187_4BS